rnacentral:rRNA from 1 species
UACGUAGGGGGCUAGCGUUGUCCGGAUUUAUUGGGCGUAAAGAGCGUGUAGGCGGCCAGGUAGGUCUGCUGUGAAAACUCGAGGCUCAACCUCGAGCUGUCGGCGGAAACCAUCUGGCUAGAGUCCGGAAGAGGAGAGUGGAAUUCCUGGUGUAGCGGUGAAAUGCGCAGAUAUCAGGAGAACACCGGUGGCGAAGGCGGUCUCUGG